rnacentral:lncRNA from 1 species
GCUGGAAUUUGCUUUGUACUAGUGAUUUGAAAAAUAAUUUUCUGGAUAACGAAUUUCCAUACUAAAGCAUCAGUCACCACCAAUUCCUUAUUAAGUUAAUUCUCCUUAGUAACUUUGGUGUUAAAGUGGUAACUAUCUGAACCCAAAAUAAAUUUGUGAAGAGUAAUUUAUUCAUUCUAAAAAGAAAUUUUCUUACAUUGCUAGAAAAGAAUAGUAUCUACUAAUCUUAUUCCCAUACUUUAUGAAGGGUGAUUAUUUAGAGAGUUUUAAAAGAAAUUAACAGAACAUUUAAAAGUGUGUUCUUUGUUGUUUGUUUUUAAAUAGGCAAAUGAAUCUAACCUGACAUCUUUUUUCCCCUUGCUAGAAAUAUUGAGCUGAAUGAAUUACAUUCCAAAAAUGUAAUGAAUAGUACACAUUUUGAAUGAAAACUCAAAGUUUUCUAGUUUUUAAUAUCUUGUCUGGAGAGUGUAUCCACUACUUGAAAAAUACUGCAGUUGAAUUAUUGAUAUUUUCACCUUUACUCUUCAAAGUAAAGCUGAAAUCAGAAAUUGGAAUCAUAUUCAGCAAAUGUAAUUUCUGGUGGGUAAUUUUCUUUUUUCUUUUUAAGGCUAUUCACCAUGCUCUUCUGAAUUUUGGUUGGCUAAAAUUUGAGAAUACAGAAUUCCCACGUUUCCUGCCUACCCUGUUCAUUCUUGGUUAUGUCCAGAGUGGCAUUAUUUGUCUUUUUCUGUUUUUCAUUUUCUUUUAUAAGAGAGGCCCAGGCAGAUCUCAAACUCCUGGGCUCAAGUAAUCCACCUGCCUCAGCCUCCCAAAGUGCUGGGAUUACAGUCAUGAGCCACCACUCCCGGCCUUAUUCAUCUUUUUUUAAAUACAUUAUUUCUGAAAUUAUAUUCUAUGGCUGAUUACUGUUAUCUUUACAACUCAUCUUAUUUGGGUUUUCAGAAAGUUUCAAAAGAUUAAAGUUUUCCCAACUAACAAGGUAAGUUGCCAUGAACUAAACAUGUCCCCCUCAAAAUUCAUAUGUUCAAAUCCUAAUCCCCAGUGUGAUGAUAUCAGAAGAUGGGGCCUUUGGUAUAUGAUUAGGUCAGGAAAGUGGAGCCCUCAUGAAUGGGAUUAGUGCCGUUAGAAAAGGGAUCCCAGAGAGCGCUCACCUGUUUUCCAUGUGAGGAUACAAUGAGAAGUCAGCAGUCUGCAACCUGGAAGAGAGCCUCACCAGAACCUAACCAUACUGGCACCUUGAUCUCGGACUUCCAGCCUCCAGAACUGUGAGAAAUUUCUGUUGUUUAUAAGCCACUCAGUCUAUGGUACAUUGUUAUAGUAGCCUAUAUUGACUAAGAUAGAGUAGAUUUGUUUUGAUUCUUCCUUCCGUCUGUUCUCCAAACUCUUAAAAUAAGUUACUCCCUUCAUGCCAUAUCCCACAUCACUUGCUUGUAUACCGUGUAAAUAUUUUAUAUAUACCUGCCUGGCAUCAGUUUGUGCUGAUUUUGUAAAUUUUGAAUGUGUUUGUUUUAGAUUUUAAGCAUAACAUUAUGGCACAUAUCUUAAUAACUUUUUAUGGUUACAAUAAAAAAAAAAAAAAAAAA